rnacentral:rRNA from 1 species
AUGUCCACAGGUGGGUUUGUAGUUUUCUUUGGACCUAAUCUCAUCUCAUGGUGUGCCAAGAAACAGACAACUGUCUCUAGGUCAAGUACUGAGGCAGAAUAUAAGGCGUUGGCCAAUGCAACAGCCGAAAUUAUAUCGGUCAGAUCUAUGCUUAAGGAGCUUGGAAUAUAUCAUAUACAAACUCCAUGUCUUUGGUGUGACAAUCUUGGUGCCACAUAUCUUUCAGCUAAUUCGGUCUUCCAUGCAAGAACCAAGCACAUUGAGAUUGAUUAUCAUUUUGUUCGUGAAAGGGUUGCAAGCAAGGAGUUGGAGAUCCGGUUUGUCCCUUCAAAAGAUCAAGUUGCAGAUGGCUUCACAAAGGCUUUGGCUACAGGGCCGUUUGAAGAGUUCAAGCGUAAUCUGAACUUGAGAAGCUUAGAUUAA